rnacentral:rRNA from 1 species
AUUGAACGCUGGCGGCAGGCUUAACACAUGCAAGUCGAACGAUCGGCGGACGGGUGAGUAAUGUCUGGGAAACUGCCUGAUGGAGGGGGAUAACUACUGGAAACGGUAGCUAAUCCCCCAUACCAUCAGAUGUGCCCAGAGGGGAUUAGCUUGUUGGUGGGGUAACGGCUCACCAAGGCGACGAUCCCUAGCUGGUCUGAGAGGAUGACCAGCCAAACUGGAACUGAGACACGGUCCAGAAUCCUACGGGAGGAAGCAGUGGGGAAUAGUGCACAAUGGGCGCAAGUCUGAUGCAGCCAUGCCGCGUGUAUGAAGAAGGCCUUCGGGUUGUAAAGUACUUUCAGCGGGGAGGCGUUACCCGCAGAAGAAGCACCGGCUAACUCCGUGCCAGCCGCCGCGGUAAUAC